rnacentral:rRNA from 1 species
UUGAACGCUGGCGGCAUGCCUUACACAUGCAAGUCGAACGGCAGCACGGGAGCUUGCUCCUGGUGGCGAGUGGCGAACGGGUGAGUAAUAUAUCGGAACGUACCCUAGAGUGGGGGAUAACGCAGCGAAAGUUGCGCUAAUACCGCAUACGAUCUAUGGAUGAAAGCGGGGGAUCGCAAGACCUCGCGCGAUUGGAGCGGCCGAUAUCAGAUUAGGUAGUUGGUGAGGUAAAGGCUCACCAAGCCGACGAUCUGUAGCUGGUCUGAGAGGACGACCAGCCACACUGGGACUGAGACACGGCCCAGACUCCUACGGGAGGCAGCAGUGGGGAAUUUUGGACAAUGGGCGCAAGCCUGAUCCAGCAAUGCCGCGUGCAGGAUGAAGGCCUUCGGGUUGUAAACUGCUUUUGUACGGAACGAAACGGUGAGCUCUAAUACAGUUUGCUAAUGACGGUACCGUAAGAAUAAGCACCGGCUAACUACGUG